AAACUAUCACUCUUUCUUGGAAAAAUGCUGGAGAGGAUGUUCCUUUAGCUCACUAUCUACGCUGAAGUGAGAUGAAAAGAAAACAUACAGCCAUCAUGUUCUAAACAUGGUGCUUGUUAAGAGUGUUGCACUUUUGAGCCAGUUCCGUGAUGACAUCCUCCUCCAGGACGUGACACCAGAUGUGGUGGGAAAACAAGAGGACAAAAAUAAUAGCCUUGGCAGAGUAUUGGGAAGGCUCCAUUCGAUGGUCCCUCAAGCGCGUCCAAUUUCAGAUGAGCUGACUACUGCAGCACUGAUGGGACCUGGGGAGAUGUUUGGUUGGCCAGCAAUUUUGGAAAUCCGAAACUCUCUUAUGGAGUGAGACAAGAGUUGAAGAGUACCGGUGAAGGUCAAGAGGAAGGAGGCUGACUUUGUUCUCUCCACGGAAAGGAGCCUUUUUUCUCUCAUUCUUUUUGUCUGCAGCUCUUAUCUGAUGUUGCAACUCCUUAAGUGCUGCCAAGUGAAGUGUGAUAUUAGUAUAAUCUGCCUCUUCAAUUGGAAAUACAAUUUUACUUGGAGAUUUCUGUCUGUCAGCUGUUUCAAUGUGUCCCCUUCUGGAUUGGGACGUAGAGGGGGAGGGACGGUCUUGAUGAAGACCAUGCAUCAGCGAAUAUGCACCUGACUCCCUUUGCAUGCUGCUAUAGCAUGAGCUCCCCGAGAGUGGUGAACAACUGGCAGUAGAUAAAAAAUAAAAAAAAAGUGAGGGGAGCCCACUCAACCAAAUUUAGUCAGCUGAUAUUUAAGCAAUAUCACAAAAGCAAGAGUGCUGUUGUACUGCAUAUCGAAACGGCUAUGAUUUAGUCUGUAAUCUUUUUCUUUUAUUUAUUUAUUAUUAUUAUUAUUAUUAUUAUUAUUAUUGUAUAAAAGCGUAUAUAAAUAAAGUUUUAUACGUUUUUAUACUAUUAACAUUUCAGAGAAAAAAAAAAUAUUUCAGUAAAUGGUCAUAUUUAUUUUGUGACAACAUAUAUCAAGCUUGGGUAUCAUCAAACAACACAACGACUGAAAGUUGGUCUGGAACAGCGUUUGUAAGUGGAGUAUAGUGGCAACAAUUCCUCUCUGGUCAAAGUUUUCUAUAAUCAUUCGGGUCCAGCUCCACGCUGGAUUUUCCAUUUCCUCUUUCAGCGAUCUUUAAGCGAUCCUGAACCAAAAAACAAAACAAAAAAUAAACAGACUGAUUGCACUGUGAAUUUGGCAACACUAGUUUGAAAGUUUACAGUAGCUGCUGAUUACUGAAAUAUGAAUUACUGCCCCCAGUGGCUGAAGCUGGAAGUGCUGUUAAAAGAAAGGGCACUUGUGAGCUCCCGUCUUUUGGGUGGAAUGUCAACAGAGUGGUGCCAAAAGAGAGUUGUAUUUUUGGUUGUAAAUGAUGUAAUACAGUCAACAGGGAUGCAUUUGUCAUUAACUCUACCCCCUAACUCAUACCCCAACCCUAAACCUAACCAUCAGUGAAGUAAAAAUGUCAUUUUAAAGCGAAAAUGCAACAUCUGAAUCACGGUCACCAUUGUUUAUUAGAACUUAAUUACUUCCUGGUUUCCACAGUACCAGAAUCUGUGUCUCAGAGGUUGCUUGUGCAAAACGCUAUCUGUAGCACCAGAAUAAAAUGUAAAAGCAUUCUGGGCACUCCUUGUUCUUUCUUUAACGAGGUCACCAGAACUGGCCGGAUCCAGAUCCAUUCCUGCUUGGUAUCAGACUCCACUGCUACGUGUCUCUUAAAUGCAGCCGAUGCCAGCCAGACAUCACUUCAGUGUAUUACAAUGGACCUCAGCGGAUGAACUGAUGCCAACUCCAACCAUAAGAGAUGGGAUAAUUUAUAUGCUAUUGCCUGAACCUUGGACUUAGGAUAGACCUCACCGAAAUGACCGCCCAGUUGUACUGCGAAGCACCUCACUGAUCUCGGCCAGCAUCACCUUGGUCUAAUGAUGGACUACACUCUUAAAAUGGAAUACAUAGACUAUCAAUAAAUUGCCAACAAAUGCCUUCAACAGCCAACUAACAAAGGACAAUGCAUCUAUAUGAACUUCUGCAGUUAAUCCAAAAUGAACUUCAAAGACAUUAGUCAUUAAUCUUACAGUUCUUACAAAAUCUUUGUUUAAACACUGGCCCUUAACUCUUACUUAGUUUAAUAAUUUUAAACCAUGCACUGCACACAAUUAAGUAAUAUUGGCAUUAUAUUCAUGCUGGUUAGCCAGAGGGGAACUGGCCCCCACAGUGAGUCUGGUUUCUCCCAAGGUUAUUUUUCUCCAUUAACCAAUAUCUUAUGGAGUUUUGUGUUCCUUGCCACAGUCACCUUCGGCUUGCUCACUGGGUUUCUAAAUACAAUUAGUAUUUAAUUACUUAUUUUUAUACACACUUCAUAAUCGUAUUUAAUCAAACUACACAAUGAUGACUCUAAGACUUUAUAGAUAUUAUGGUUUCAUUUUCUGUUAAUGCAAGAUUUUCUGUAAAGCUGCUUUGAAAGGCGCUAUACAGAUAAAAAUGACUUGACUUUC